UCCACGCCCUAAACGAUGGAUGCUAGUCAUCUCGGUGAUGCACUUAACAGAUUAAGUGUUCCGCCUGGGGAGUACGGUCGCAAGAUUAAAACUCAAAGGAAUAGACGGGGACCCGCACAAGUGGUGGAGCAUGUGGUUUAAUUCGAAAAUACGCGAAGAACCUUACCUAGCCUUGACAUUGAUAGAAUCUUCCAGAGAUGGAGGAGUGCCUUUCGGGGAACUUGAAACAGGUG
rnacentral:rRNA from 1 species